rnacentral:misc_RNA from 1 species
AAGAGUUCAAGCCCCAUAUAGGUAGAUCUCCCCUCCUUGAAUAUGUUACUUUGUUGCUUUGGUGGGGCGUACUUUUAUACCACUGGUACUUGCUAGUGAGUACCCGCUGGAGAAUUCUAAAUUCUGAAUUAUUUAUUGUUGUCUGAGAGCUAUAUAAUUGUUA